rnacentral:rRNA from 1 species
UACGAAGGUCCCAAGCGUUAUCCGGAUUAUUGGGUUUAAAGGGUGCGUAGGCGGGCUAUUAAGUCAGUGGUGAAAGCCCCAAGCUUAACUUGGGAACUGCCAUUGAUACUGAUGGUCUUGAGUACAUUUGAGGUGGGCGGAAUGUGUCAUGUAGCGGUGAAAUGCUUAGAUAUGACACAGAACACCGAUUGCGAAGGCAGCUCCACUAAAACUGUAAACUGACGCUGAGGCACGAAAAGCGUGGGGAGCAAACAGGG